rnacentral:rRNA from 1 species
AGUGAACGCUGGCGGUAGGCCUAACACAUGCAAGUCGAACGGCAGCACAGUAAGAGCUUGCUCUUACGGGUGGCGAGUGGCGGACGGGUGAGGAAUACAUCGGAAUCUACUUUUUCGUGGGGGAUAACGUAGGGAAACUUACGCUAAUACCGCAUACGACCUACGGGUGAAAGCAGGGGAUCUUCGGACCUUGCGCGAUUGAAUGAGCCGAUGUCGGAUUAGCUAGUUGGCGGGGUAAAGGCCCACCAAGGCGACGAUCCGUAGCUGGUCUGAGAGGAUGAACAGCCACACUGGAACUGAGACACGGUCCAGACUCCUACGGGAAGAAGCAGUGGGGAAUAUUAGACAAUGGGCGCAAGCCUGAUACAGCCAUACCGCGUGGGUGAAGAAGGCCUUCGGGUUGUAAAGCCCUUUUGUUGGGAAAGAAAAGCAGCAGGUUAAUACCCCGCUGUUCUGACGGUACCCAAAGAAUAAGCACCGGCUAACUUCGUG